UCCGGUUGAUCCCGCCGGACCUGACUGCUAUCGGAUUGAUACUAAGCCAUGCGAGUCAUUGUAGCAAUACAAGGCAUACGGCUCAGUAACGCGUAGUCAACCUAACCUAUGGACGGGAAUAACCUCGGGAAACUGAGAAUAAUGCCCGAUAGAACAUUAUGCCUGGAAUGGCUUAUGUUCCAAAUGAUUUAUCGCCGUAGGAUGGGACUGCGGCCUAUCAGUUUGUUGGUGAGGUAAUGGCCCACCAAGACUAUUACAGGUACGGGCUCUGAGAGGAGUAGCCCGGAGAUGGGUACUGAGACACGGACCCAGGCCCUAUGGGGCGCAGCAGGCGAGAAAACUUUGCAAUGUGCGAAAGCACGACAAGGUUAAUCCGAGUGAUUUGUGCUAAACGAAUCUUUUGUUAGUCCUAGAACCACUAACGAAUAAGGGGUGGGCAAGUUCUGGUGUCAGCCGCCGCGGUAAAACCAGCACCUCAAGUGGUCAGGAUGAUUAUUGGGCCUAAAGCAUCCGUAGCCGGCUCUGUAAGUUUUCGGUUAAAUCUGUACGCUUAACGUACAGGCUGCCGGGAAUACUGCAGAGCUAGGGAGUGGGAGAGGUAGACGGUACUCGGUAGGAAGGGGUAAAAUCCUUUGAUCUAUUGAUGACCACCUGUGGCGAAGGCGGUCUACCAGAACACGUCCGACGGUGAGGGAUGAAAGCUGGGGGAGCAAACCGGAUUAGAUACCCGGGUAGUCCCAGCUGUAAACUAUGCAAACUCAGUGAUGCAUUGGCUUGUGGCCAAUGCAGUGCUGCAGGGAAGCCGUUAAGUUUGCCGCCUGGGAAGUACGUACGCAAGUAUGAAACUUAAAGGAAUUGGCGGGGGAGCACCACAAGGGGUGAAGCCUGCGGUUCAAUUGGAUUCAACGCCGGA
rnacentral:rRNA from 1 species